rnacentral:lncRNA from 1 species
UACAUUAGGGUUAAGAGCUUACCUUGUAAGCUCUCCUUUCUUGCACUAGAGAGGAAGGAGAUGGAGCCUCUUUGCUCCAAAAGCUUCUUCUUCACCUUCUUCUCCUUCUUUUCCUUCCUUUCUUCCUUCUUCUUCUUCUCCUUCUUUGUCUUCUAGAGAGAGAAAGAGAGGAGAGAGUGUGAGUGUUUGAGAGGGUGGGAAUGAGAGAAAAUCUCAUUAACCCUCAAUACAUAGCUAUUGGGUUGCAAAAUUGCAGCUAAACCCCUCAACUUUCACUUUAAUACACUGCCCGAACUGGGCAUUCCGCGCAGGCAGAGACCGGUCUCCCCGAGCAGGGACCGGUUCCCGAACGUCCACCCUGCGCAGCCAGAGCCGCUGCGCGCGAUGCGACCGGUCUCUCUCCGAUGGGACCGGUCUCUGGGGGACCGGUCUCUCAGGCAGAGACCGGUUCCCGAGAGCUAAUCUUCCAGGACUUAGCCGAUUUUUCGGCUGUCUCAUUUCAUACGCGUUCGGGGACCGGUCUCUCCUUUCAGGGACCGGUCCCCUAGAG